rnacentral:RNase_P_RNA from 2 species
GAAGCCCGCCAGACCGCCGCUGGCGCAAGCGCCGAAAGGCCGCGCUGGAGGAACGUCCGGACUGCACAGGGCAGCGCAGGAGCUAACGGCUCUCCACCGUGAGGUGAGGAUCAGAGCAACAGAGACGAGCCGAUUGAGUUCGGGUGAAACGGGCAAUCUCUGCGCGCAGCAACACCAAGUAGGUUGGCAUUGAGGCGGCCCGCUGAGCCAACGGGUAGGUGGCACCGAGCCGGGUGGGCGACCCCCGGCCCAGAUUGAUGGCGGUCACGGCGCGGCUUGCCGCGCCGCACAGAAUCCGGCUUAUCGGCGGACUUCACAC